GACGGAGGAUGCAAGCGUUAUCCGGAAUGAUUGGGCGUAAAGCGUCCGCAGGUGGCAGUUCAAGUCUGCUGUCAAAGACCGGGGCUUAACUUCGGAAAGGCAGUGGAAACUGAACAGCUAGAGUAUGGUAGGGGCAGAGGGAAUUCCUGGUGUAGCGGUGAAAUUCGUAGAUAUCGGGAGGAACACCAGUGGCGAAGGCGGCGAUCUGGGAAGAUACUGACGCUGAGGUGCGAAAGCGUGGGGAGCAAACAGG
rnacentral:rRNA from 1 species